rnacentral:lncRNA from 1 species
GAGUCAGUCAGCUUCCUGUUGCCUACAAGAUAUAUGACUAGCAGCUACAUUGCCUGUACACUGCCAUGCUCCCUGCCAUGAUGAUAAUGGACUGAACUUCUGAAACUGAAAGUCCCAGGGAAAUGUGCAAGAUUCAGCACGCUUACCACUGCAGAAAAAAAAAAAAUGCCAAUGAGCAAUGUGUUGAUCAAAGUUCUGAGGAGGAGAGAUGCUCAAAUAUUUACUCAGAGCACUUCGCCGAAAGGUACCCAAGGGUGCUCCAAGGUGGCCACCAACUGACUUUUGGCAGAGACAGCAUUUCCUCUGUUCUAAGGGACCAUUCAUUCCCACCUGGCGCUUCCUCACACUCCCUCCCUCCUGCUCUAGCGCUCCUUAGGAAGAUGUUUUAUGAACUGUGUGCUUGAAUAUUUUUGUGCUUGCAGCAAAGAAUGUUGUUUUCCUAAAUCAAGAAGGAGAACAGAAACUUUGAAAACUGGGCUUCUCAGCCUCAGGAAUGCUGCUGCUCAGACACUGUCCUGGAAAGGACUACAAAUGAUA